rnacentral:tRNA from 3 species
GCACUUGUAGCUCAAUUGGAUAGAGCGACUGACUACGGAUCAGUAGGUUGAGGGUUCGACUCCUUCCAAGUGCACCA